UUUUUUCUUUUUUCUUUUUUCACAUUACAUUGCAGCUUGAAGUGUUUUCAUCGCUGAAAAAGUGGGUGUAAUUGUCGCCGGCCGGUUGCGGUGGAGGAUACGGAUACGGGUACGGCGGCAGGUAGUUCACGGCGGGUGGUGGCCGCGCGUACAUCAUUGCUUGGUUUGCCAUGGCGGCGCGUUGGUGGUUCAUUGCUGCCAUGUAUUGUUGUUGCUGUUGGUAUGGGUUGCCGGGCAUUGCCUCCGCUGGUGCGGGAGCUCCUUGAAAAUAUGCGCUGCCGGGUCCGCCGCCGUUCAUGGCGGCCGCCGGGAGGCCUUGGACGGCCGGAAUGGAUCCCAUUUGACUCAUUUGCAUGUUCCCCAUUUGUGCCAUUGGCAUGUUCAUGUUCAUUGGCCGGCCGCCGCCCGCGCCGCCGCCCGCCAUUGCUCCUGCCGGCAACCCGUGAGGACCACCCAUGCUCGGAAAACCAUGGGGACCACCACCGUUCAUAACGUGAGCCAUUUCACCACCGGCCUUUUUUCCGCCAUUGCCAUUAUUAAUAGGACCACCGCCGCCGCUAUUGCCGCCGUUCUUUUGAGCCCCACCAUUAUUAUUACCGUUCUUAGCUUCACCGUUUUUGCCGCCAUUUUUGCCAGCACCACCGCCGCCGCCUAGACUGGGAUUCCCACCGCCGCCGGCACCGCCUUUCUUCCCCCCAUUUCCGCCUUUACCGUCGUUUCCACCGCCCAUUCCAUUCAUUGGCAUUGGCAUUGGCAUAGCUCCGCCACCUCCACCGCCACCGCCUUUCUUAUCACCACCAUUAGCAGCAGCCUUCUGAGCAUUAAUUAGUUGUUGCAUAUUCAUAUUCCCAUUCAUCAUCAUCGCCAUGUUCGGCAUCUGACCUCCACCGCCUCCGCCUCCGGCAACGGUGCCAGCGCCGGCACCACCCAUCAACGGCUUCAUUUUAUUCGGAGGAAGAGGAAUAUCAUCCAAAUCAUCUUCAAGAUCAUCAUCAUCAAACUCGUCAUCAUCAUAAUCAUCAUCAUCCAAAUCAUCAUCGGUCAGAUCACCAUCCUCCGGCAAAUCGAACUUCACCGCCUUCUGAUUCACGGGAAUCGGAUCUUUAAACGGCGGCAUUUUCAUACCCUUCAACUGUGGUGGCAACAUCUUCGGAUCUUGAAACGGAAACCCAUUCAUCUGCUGCUGCAAUUGCUGCAGCUGUUGAAGCUGCUGCGGCAGAAUCUGCGGUGGCCCACCACCACCACCUCCUCCGCCGCCACCCCCACCUCCCGAUUUCGGCUGAUUGUUCCCACCCUUUGGAGGCCCCUGUUUAUUAUUACCCCCACCUUUUCCAUUGUCAAUCUGCAAAUUCUUCAUCUGAUUCGCAAGAUGGUUCUGUUGGCCGCCAUUGUUAUUGUUUGGAUUUACCUUCGGAGCUCCCCAAAGCUCUGCAUAUUUCCCUGAUUUCGAGAGCUUUUUAAUCAGAGUAGCAGCGUCUACAUUUCCAGAAACUGUUACCUUCCCUAGCUCUGCAUCUAUCUCCGUAGUG
rnacentral:misc_RNA from 1 species